rnacentral:rRNA from 1 species
CCCGGUGGAGGGGGGCUAGAUGCAGUCGACGAGAAGCCUCUUCGGAGGUUAGUAAAGUGGCGCACGGGUGAGUAACGCGUGGGUAAUCUGCCCUUAGGUUUGGGAUAACCCCGGGAAACCGGAGCUAAUACCGAAUAAGACCACGAUGACUUCGGUCGAUGUGGGAAAAGGUGGCCUCUUCUUGAAAGCUAUCGCCAAAGGAUGAGCCCGCGUUUGAUUAGCUUGUUGGUGAGGUAAAAGCUCACCAAGGCUUCGAUCAAUAGCUGGUCUGAGAGGAUGAUCAGCCACACUGGAACUGAGACACGGUCCAGACUCCUACGGGAGGCAGCAGUCGGGAAUAUUGGGCAAUGGGCGCAAGCCUGACCCAGCAACGCCGCGUGAAGGAUGAAGGCCCUCGGGUCGUAAACUUCUGUCGAGAGGGAAGAAUGCGUGCGGGUGAAUAAUCCGUACGUUUGACGGUACCUCCAAAGGAAGCACCGGCUAACUCCGUGCCAGCAGCCGCGGUAAUACGGAGGGUGCAAGCGUUGUUCGGAUUUAUUGGGCGUAAAGCGAGUGUAGGCGGUUUGACAAGUCGGGUGUGAAAUCCCAGGGCCCAACCCUGGAACUGCAUCCGAUACUGUUAGGCUAGAGUCCCGGAGAGGGUGGCGGAAUUCCCGGUGUAGGGGUGAAAUCCGUAGAUAUCGGGAGGAACACCAGUGGCGAAGGCGGCCACCUGGACGGUGACUGACGCUGAGACUCGAAAGUGUGGGUAGCAAACAGGAUUAGAUACCCUGGUAGUCCACACCGUAAACGGUGAGAGCUCGUCGUAGUGGGUAUUGACCCCUGCUGUGACCAAGUUAACGCAUGAAGCUCUC